rnacentral:tRNA from 1 species
CGCGGGAUGGAGCAGUUGGUAGCUCGUCGGGCUCAUAACCCGGAGGUCGUUGGUUCGAGUCCAACUCCCGCAA